AACGAACGCUGGCGGCAUGCCUAACACAUGCAAGUCGAACGAGAACAUCGGGCAUCUUGGUGCAUCGCUGCGUAACGCGUGGGGGCCUGCCCUUGGGUUCGGAACAACUCGCCGAAAGGGGUGCUAAUAUCGGAUCAUGUCCUCGGACCGAAGAUUUUUCGACUUUGGAUGGGGCCGAGUUGGAUUAGCUAGGUAGUAGGGUAAGAGCCUACCAAGGCGACGAUUCAUAGCUGGUCCGUGAGGAAGAUCAGCCACACCUGGGCUGGGACACGGCCCAGACUACUGCGGAAGGGAGGAAUGGGGAAUAUUGGACAGUGGGGUGAAGCCUGAACGAGCAAUGCCGGGUGAGUGAUGAAGGCCUGGGGGUUGUAAAGAUCUUUUACACGGGAGGAUAUUGACGGUACCGGGAGAAUAAGCACCGGCUAACUCCGUG
rnacentral:rRNA from 1 species